UACGUAGGGGGCAAGCGUUGUCCGGAUUUAUUGGGCGUAAAGAGCGUGUAGGCGGUUAGGUAGGUCCGUUGUGAAAACUCGAGGCUCAACCUCGAGACGCCGAUGGAAACCAUCUGACUAGAGUCCGGAAGAGGAGAGUGGAAUUCCUGAUGUAGCGGUGAAAUGCGCAGAUAUCAGGAAGAACACCCGUGGCUAAGGCGGCUCUCUAGUACGUGACUGACGCUGAGACGCGAAAGCGUGGGGAGCGAACAGG
rnacentral:rRNA from 1 species